rnacentral:lncRNA from 1 species
UUAGAUUGGCCCAUUAUGUAAUAUUUCUGUUUUUGUAGCUUUUAACUUAACAAACAUGGGCUUGUAUAAAGCUAAUAUAAUGAGGAAUUAUAAUACAGCAACCAAACAUGUUCUUGGGAUAUGUUUUUCUGAACUAGAGAUGACAUCACUAGCAUCUGGUCUUUCUCUUUGAGACAGCUGAGAGAGUGAGGUGCCGUGAGAGAUGCAAUCGAUGGGGGGGUAGAGAGAGGUAGCCGACAGUGAGAAUGGUAAGGAAGAACGGAGCGUAGUGAGAUUAGUGGAUUGGUGAGGAAGAGCGUGAGGGAGAGAAUGAGAGAGCAUGUGUUGUGGUUGAGAAUGUUGCAAUUGAAAAUUUACUGUAACCUUUUAUGCUUGCCUCAAAACUCACCGUUUUGUGCUAACUGUUGUGCUCAAUGUUGUAAGAAUAUCGGAACUGUUAUAAAUUUGUUUCUAAAUAGAAAACUCUUUUGUGGAGUCAAUAUUUUGAAAACCAAAGUCUCGAGUUCUUUCUCGUGCGUGCCUGGCCAGCAUCCUAAACCUUACUGCUAGCCGGAGAAUGGCGUAAAACGGCGGCGAUCUUCUUCUUCAUCUUUUUCUCUCUGUCAUCGUUUCAGGUAACCUUGUGAUUAUGAGUUUCUUCUCUUUCUUAGCUUGCAAAAAUAGGUUUUGAUUUCUUUAAUUCGUAUUGUAGCCAUUAAUAUCAAUUUUUGUCCUGCCGGCAAUAUUUUUUUGUUCCUAGAGGUUGAAGCCCUUCUGUUCUUGUUCCAUUGGUGACUUUGCUCACUCAAAUUAAUUUUGUUCUGCAGAAUUUACAAAGUUCAAAUGGAUUCGUUUGGAUUACUAUUGAAUUUAGCUUUCAUUUCAACAUUCAUUCUAAUGUUUUACAAUUAUGUAUUUAGAUUUACUUUAAUUUUAUGUUUAAAGCUUCUGCAAUGAAUAGCUGAGCUUGGGUCUUAGUUUCAUUUUCUAAUUAACUUGUUUUAGUUUAUCUUAUAUGCUCACCAAGUGCUUGUUAUAUUGUCUGAUAGGUUAUAUAACAUUGCUGAUUCUAUAUUAAUAAUGUCAUGUUCCAUUUUCAGAAAUUAUAAUAUAAAAGUUUUUACAAUGGGGUGCAUCUACAAACUGAAUUGACUUGUAGAGUAAGAGCUUGGAGUAGUGUUGCAUUCUUGAAUAAAUGAAAGUUCAUAUUGUGUAAGAGCAUGUAGAUGUAAAGCAUCAUUACCAUUUCUACCAAGUGCUUUCAUUCCGUUCAGAUGCUCCACUUGAACUUUGGAAGGUGCCUCAUUCAAGUCCUAGCUAUAACUAAUAGCUCUGAUUAAUUAAGUUCAUGUGCUAGCUGAAACAGAUUUAAUUAAUUAAUUAAUUAAUUGUGUAUGUACUAAUUAUAUUGAAAGUAUAUGAAGAAAUUGUUUAACAUGAAUGACUUCUAAAUGACUUAAAAGCCUAGAGGAUAAGUGAAAUAAUGCUCAUUUCACUUGAAUGAGCCUAUUAAUACUUGUAUGUCUAUGAUUGUCAAUAUUGCUUAAGUGUUUCAGUUAAGUGGUUUACCUAGCAGGGAAAAAAAUUUAAUGGAAAACCUUAGAGUUUUAAUAGAAAUAUAGUUCACUAUGCAGAUAUAGUUAUUUUACGGUAUAUAAAUCAUGUUGUCCUAUUCUCAAUGUCCUACAACCUAUUUUAUUUUAUAUAGUCAUUCAUUUUUACGAUGGUUUUUUGUGUUUAUGAGUAUGGAAAUAGUGGGAUUUGGUGUACCUUAGCAUCUUUCGAAAAUUCUCUUUAAAUGCGGCAAACAAAAAUAUACAUAUAAUCAAGUUUCUUAAUCAUGUAUAUUAGGUUUGGGUACGAAUGUUUUCCUAUUCUAGUUCUAGGCCAAGUUUCUUCAUUUUGGUCUUCAGAUUUCCAGUAGGUUAAGCUAAUCAACUAUCAUAACUGGCUAGCUAGUUAUUGCCUGCCUUGUCGCCAUUACCGACGCCAUUACAUUGCAUGGCAUAGGGAAUAGUAACUAUGUGAUUAUUGGUGAUUUGUUGAGCUUAUUAUUGACCAAACAAACAUAUUCGCCUUUACCCACAACUUGGUUUGAUUAGUUACUGGACAAUAAAGAGCCUUAAUCUAUGCAUUGGCUUUCUUAUUUUUAUUUGGUUUUUCUUUCAACAAUAUUGUUGAUUUCUUAAUCAUUGGCUAUUUAAUGAAGCUAAUUAAAACUAAGGCUUCGGAUCACUUUCUUCUAACAACAAACAAAUGAGGAUAACCUAUCUCCUCUAAGCAAAUUUUUCUAAUAUCCUUGAUUUGUUAGGACCUGGAGGCCUGAAAUCCUCUAGAUUUUUUUAGCAUUGCCAAUGUUCCUUUUAUUCUGAAAAGGAAAAAAAGGUUAUAUCGUUUAUACCCUAACAGUAAAAUGGCCUUUGACUUAACAUGCCUUCCUGAGGAUUUGCAAGAUUCACAAGCAGCCUAGCCACCCCCCAACGCAAAAAAAAUAAAAAAUAAUAAAAAUAUAAAAUAUAAAAUAUAAAAACCCAAAUAGGAAGACUUUGCAACAUUCACAACGUGGUUACAUUUAAGUUAUUAAUUGUGUGUGUGUGUACUAGUUAUAUGUUGAUAGUAUAGGAAGAAGUAUUUUAACAUGGAUGACUUAAAACUUAUUGCUCAGUAAACAUAGUCUGCAUCAGUGCUAGAAAAUGUAUUCAUUGUUUGUAUUUUUUAUGGUUUUGAUUAAGAAAUGAAAUGUGAAAAAAUGCUACAUUGUAUUAGGAAUAAAUUGAAGAGAUUUAUGAUAUUUAUGUGUUAUUCAAGUUUCAGAUUCAAUUUUAAACUUUUGAUACAUGCAUUGAAAGCUUAAACUCCUUUAAGAAGUUAUUGAUAGACACAUGUUUUAUUAGUGUCAUCUUUGGAUGAUAGUGAGGAUCUUAUGUCUAUUAAUAAUUCUUGAAUUAUCCAGGCUCGGACAUUUUGGUAAUGCAUAGUUUUCUAUGGUAACUAGUACCUGAAAUUUUUUUCCCACAAAAAAUGGGCUUUUCAGUAGCUGCUCCUCAUAUUCUGGGUGCAUACUAGACGAAUGGGUGUCGUUUUGUUUUGGGAUAACACAUAAACACUCAUAUAUCUAUGUCAUGUACUUGAAGAACUAUAGGGAGAUGCUUCCGAAAUUUCUAUAAACGUAGAGGAAAACUUUAGAUACUUAAGGUUGAAGAAACUUAUGCAUUCUUGAGUGGGAUAUAGAGGACCACUUACCUUUUGUAAUAUGAAGGGAAUGUUGGAUAUAUUGAUGGGAGUGGAUGAGCUGAGUGGGAUGAAUGUAAACGGUUAUGAUUUUGCUGAGUUGACUUGGUUUUGAGUCUUGUAAUUUUGUUUAUAAAUGGAGUACUAUCUCCAAUGUUGGUUUAUAAAUAUGUUUCAGCUGGCUGACCUAAUUUUUUAUUUCUAGGUAACAGGCUUUAUAUAUUCGUAAUUGAUAGCCAAGUGAAGUUCUCAGCAGUGGGUGAGGAUAUUUCUUUACAGAAGGUAUUGGAAACUGUUUUUCACAUUAAUUAGUAUUGUAUACAUACUUUAAUUUCACAUCUUUUUCUCUGAUUCUUGUGGCUUUGCUUGCUUUCAUAUAUAUAAACAUUCUAAUGAGAUUAACAUAAAAUUGUAUAAUGAUUUUUUUUAAUUAUAAAUUGCGCGCACACGAAAAUAUCUUGUUUAGUAGUAGAAAUGAAGAACUAAAAUGAUUUAUUUAACUAAUUUUUCUAGUGCAUUAAAAGGAGAUAGUCAUGGACAAGAGUUGGGUUGGUUUGCCAAAUAGAUAUCCAAGUCAUAUACUGAUGGGGUUGAAAAAUUUAUAGAUUUUGCAUUUGAGAAUGUUGUUGGUGAUAAAAGAAUUUAUUGUCCUUGUAAGAAGUGUCGUAAUAUCGAUAUUUCAUUAUAAGGGAAGUGGCAAGAGACCAUAUCAUUACAAAUGGCUUUUGGUUAAAGUAUUGAAACUGGAUAUUGCAGGGUGAGCCAUCUUCAUCUUUGAAAUCUAACUAAGAAACAGGUUAGUCAUGACUCGGGUGCUGAUGAUAGUAUGGUUGGAGUGAUACACGAUGCAUCACAUAAUCAAGUGUUCAAGUUACACGCAGCAUUGUUAUGUUAUGGACUAUCAGUGACUUUCUAACAUAUGCCAACUUGUUUGGGUAGAGUAUUAAAGGUAAAUAAGCAUUUCUUGUUUGCCAACAAAACACUAGUUCUAAUUGGUUGAUACAUAAUAGAAAAUUUUGUUACUGGGUUACCGUCGAUUCUUACCAACGAAUCAUAGGUUUCGCAAAUAUAGUGUCUUUUGAUAAAACUAGGGGGUAGGGAUAAACGCCUUCUCGGUUGUCUUGAACUGACGUGAAAAAGCAGGUGAAUAAUAUAUUUACUAAGUAUAAGAUUGAAGACCUGAAAAGAGGAGAAUGAAUAAAAUGAAAGAAAUGAUAAGAUUACUUGGAAGAAGAAAAGCAUUUUUUAUGAACUAACGUAUUGGGAGUUCAACUUGAUUCAUCAUAAUCUUGAUGUCAUGCAUAUGAUCUACUUUCUUUCAUUUUCUCACCUCCCAAACAUCCAUUAUACAAUAAAGUUUUUUUAGAUUUUAUUGUUUCAUAGAAUUAUAUUUUGCAUAUGAUGAAAUAACUUAACAUUUUAGUAUUCAUUUGCAUAUAAUAAUUAUAAGUAAGAAAAAAUAAUUGCUUACAAUUACUACUAGUUUUAUUGUCGUGAUUACAAAUAAAUUGCUCAAAUUUUCUGCUUCAGCUAUCAAACCUUUUAGCUGCUUCCAGACAUGAAGAAAUUAAACCCAUAAUUUCUAGGUACAAUUGCAUUCGUAUAUGCCAUGAUACAUAUGAUAUGAUUAGAACCAAAAGGAGAAAUAAAUUUUUGGGACUUAUUGUGAUGGUGAUUAAUCUUUUUCUACCUUAACUUUGAUAAGGUUAUAAUUAAAUUUUAUAUGAUUAAAGUGGUCAAUGGUUAAAUAAAUAAAUAAAUAAAAUAGAUGAGGAUGGACUAAUGAAAUGACCCACCCCCGAACUCCACAAGGUGAGUCUAUGUAAUAUCGUCUUACUUGACUGAUAAUAAUCUAAUUAGUAAGGAUUUUACCGAAAAUUUGAUAGAGUCUCCACUUUGAAUAUAACAUUUCCAACCUGCAAAUGUGUAAAACAAGCACUCUCAAAAUAAAUCAGUAUACAACCAACUUCAUUGAUUAACCUCCUCAACUAUAUUACUGAAUAUUACCCAAAAUAUCUACAAAGUAUCAAAAGAUUAUUUAUACCUACUGUUGACAUAUAUUAAGCUAUUUUUAAUCACAAAAAAUAUUACAAAAUUAUAUAAUCCAAAAAAAAAAGAAAUCAAAAUGCCCUGACAAUAUAAUCUAUAUCUCCUAGUACCAUCACAUGGCCAAAAUUCAAAAUACUAUAGUUGCUAAGUCAACUGGUGUCUUGCAACCUCCUGAGGGGUGGGAGGGAAUUAUAAUAAAACGGGUGAGUAUAAAACUCAGUGAGCUCGGUGAGUGGAUAAUAGUUUUUGAAAAUAACUUACCAUAAAUAAUUAUACCACUUUUAUAUAUGAUUUUAUCAAACUGUAUGUAAGAAACAUGAAUAAAUUAUUUAACCUUUGAAUCAAGUAAUUGACAUUGAAAAGAAUACAUUAAGAGGUGCAUAAUAAUCAUGGAAAUUGUAUCACAAUAUAAAAUACAUGAUUAUGAAAUUAUCACAAAACAAGUACCUAAGGGAAUAAUCUUGUCGUACCUAGAGCUCAUACGGGCAAUGCAAUGACAUAUUCUCUAGGUACUGUCAUCCUCGGAGCUAGCACCGGUAGAUCAAUGAAGUGUCAUCUUAUAUAUCUUAUCAUAUCUUUGCAUGCAUAAACUAGUCCCCAAAAGACAAAGGUGCCCAAUCACAUAAUCCAAGGCCUCUGUGAGCCCCAAAGGCCCCUAUCUCGUCUGUAUAUUAGUAACUGAAUCUUUGUUAUCAUCAUAUUUCAUGCAUAAGCGUUCAAAAGGCAAAAGUGCCCAACUAGACGGCCCAAAGCCUCUCUGUGUGUUCAGACGGGCCCCAAAGUCCUCUCAUCUCAUCUGUAUAAUUGUAAUUGGAGGGGAAGGGCAUUGUUCAACGAGUUUGAGAACAAACUUAUAUAUAUACACACAUAAACAUUUUAAUCAUACUUUAAACUCUUAUUUCCUUUUCAUUACAUACUUUAAAUUUGAUUUUCUUUUCUUUAUAUUACUCUCAUGUAUAUACUCAAAAUCGAUAAUAAAACCAAUAAUCAUACUUUUUAAUAAUAAAUAUCAAUACUUAAAUAAAACCUAUUUCUAGAAAAUCAUUAGAUCGGAGCAUUAAACACUUAUUUCCCAAACAUGCUUUACUAUACUUUAAAAUCAUAAUAAAAUAUGAAAAAUAGGUUUUGCCUAUUUCACUCACCGUGACGAUAUUCAAACUCGGCUAUCAUUAAUGUCUGUAGGAUGGUUCUCACUCACUAUUCCCCCUAAAUCAAGGAUACGACAUAAUUACUUUCCAUAAAUGUGAAAUACAACUAACUGUAUGUAAUAUACUCGAAACGAACAUCUAUCCACAAUAUGCUACUCCUAUGUCUGUAACGUUACCAAAAAUACCCCCAAAAUCAUAAAUUGUCAAACAACCCUCAAAAUCAUAAAUUACCAAACUAUCCUCUAUAAAAUAUUAUUAAAAUAUCCACAAAGUCAGAAAUUAAAAAAUUACCAUCAAAAUAUAAAAUUAUCAAAAUGCCCUCGUCGGUCAAUGGUGAUCGGGAGUCAAGUGAUGGUGGUUGGAAUGGCCAAGAUAAAUGCUUUGGACCACGCUGAAUUUAAUGGUGGCAAAUUGACCAUUUCUGGUGACAUGGGUGAUUAAAAAUUGUAGAGGGUGUCGUGAGGGAGAAAACUAAGCAGUAGUGUGCCACAAGUUCGACGAAAUCUCAUCAAAUCGAGGUGGUAGUACCACAGCUCUUCACAUUCUUGAUCGGUGGUCUUUUAGCAGUUAUUUAGUGACCAUGAUGGUUAGGGAAUGACUAGCAUUGGUUGAGGAUUCGAUCGAUACCUUCUGUUGUCGAUAGAGUGGCCGAAAAUAGUAGUUAGCAGUGGGUGGGGUUUCAAUUCUAUCAGUUAGGUUGAUAGCUCUUCCUCUCUUUGUUUUUCUCUUUCCCUCGAUUCCGUGUCAUAACAAGUUUAAACUAGUUCAAACUCGAACCAUUUAACAAGCGUGUCAAAUUUAACAACCCACACUCAUUUAUUCAUGUUGAGUAAUUGAGUCGUAUCAAAUCUGCCAAUAACAAUUAUAAUAAUGACUUCUAAAACUUCAAGUCAAAGAGGAGGAUAAAAUAAUGCACUUGAUUAAACAUAAAAUGCAUAUGUUACAACUAAUCACUAUUCAAAAUAUUAAGAGUGGAGUAGCAAAUGUCAAUUUAUUUGGUUGCAAUCAAAUUUAUCCUAUGAUAAAUAGUGAUUAUUAAAUAAUAUAUAGAUCUAUUAUAUAGUAAAUUAAUAAUAUAUAUUAAUGAAAAUUUAAAAAUAAAUUAUUUAAAAAAGUCAAACUAGGUAAUGGACUUAAAUGUGAAAAUUUAAAAUAAUUUGGAGUUAUGUGUCAAAAUAUUGAAACUUUGUCAUUUUUUAAUGUGCAAGCAAAUAAUAGGGACUAUAGACUUAAUAAACUAUUAAAUCCAUCUAAGCCACUAAGCUACGUUUAUGUUAAAUCUAAUGGUUAGUAAUAGCUAAUAAGAAAAGGACAAAAAUUGGGGAAUGAUGUCACAGGGACACCAUAGUCGGACCCAUUAUUAAUGUUUAGUGCAAGUAUUUUCUGAAAUAACAACUACAUAAUUAUUAUCUUAUGUAUCUAAUGAGAUUAUUAAUUUAGUAUAUUGGCCCAAGUUAGAAACGUAAGAUUUUGUUAUUUAAUCAAGUAUAUUAAUUUAUAAAACAUUCAUUUAUUGAGAUUUUAUUGUACAUUACAUUUGCACACUUUAUUUUUAAUGUGAAGUAAAAACUAAUGUUACAUAUGAACUUAUUGCUGACAACAUUAGUACAUAAUUGCUGUCAUAAGAAAAUUUAUCAAUCCAGGAAUUUUGGAUUUUAUAAAGUCUUACAAGUGAAAAGAGUAGUUUAUAACAUUGUAAAUGUGACCUCGACCUGGAAGCGAACUCGGCUGUCAUAAAUUGAUCAAAGCCACACUUAACUUCUACUACUACUUGCAUUGUUACCACCGUCUUCAGCCUUCUGCUUUGCCCAUUCAGAAAAAAAAAAAAAAAUUAUAUAACUUUUGUCAGCCAACAAUUAUAAUAAACUAAAAACAUGUCCAAAGAUUCAAAAUUUUUUUUUUCCCUUUUUUUGGUUUUACCUCCUCUGACAUAUCAAAUCCUAUUGCCGUGAAAAGUUUCCCUUGCAGCACAUAAUUUUGCCACAGCAUCUCUCAUCUCCAUUCGCUCAGUUGGAGACUCCAUUGAGCAGGAAACCCCAAUUCCAAUUACAGCAGACAAGCAUUGCUCAGUCCUGACUCUUAUCUCUCCAUCACUAUUUCUUGCAAUUUCCUCAGUUAGAAGUGAAGGCUCAACAAUAUUCACCACUUCUUCUGGCAAAGCCCUUUUGGCAAAUUCAUGGAGGGUUAAGCCAUCAUUGAACAUGCUGUCCGUGGGCCGCUUUCCUGUGAACAUUUCUAGCAAAAGAAUUCCGAAGCUGUACACAUCACCUCGCAUGGAGACUUCGCCACCCGUACCGUACUCUGAAAAAAACAUGUUAGAUAUAUUACUCAGUUAGUUGCCAC